CAUGCCUCUGAAGAAGCAGCCUUAAUGGACCUCCUUAAUUUUAUGUAUAGUCAUACCCUAUCAACAACCACACCAACUGCUGUACUGGAUGUGUUGAUGGCUGCUGACAAAUUUGAGGUAGCAUCAUGCAUGAGAUAUUGCAGCAAGCUGUUGCGAAAUUUGCCUAUGACCUGCGAGUCUGCCUUGCUCUACUUGGACCUUCCUUCUACUGUUUUAAUGGCUGAAGCAGUUCAGCCACUGACAGAUGCAGCUAAGCAGUUUCUCGCUGCGCAAUACAAGGACAUAAAUAAGUUCCAAGAAGAUGUUCUUAACUUGCCUUUGGCUGGUAUUGAGGCUGUAUUAUCCAGUGAUGAUCUCCAGGUAGCUUCAGAGGAUGCUGUUUAUGACUUUGUACUUAAGUGGGGUCGUACUCAUUAUCCCAGAUUGGAGGAUCGACGAGAAAUCCUUGCCACACGACUUGGUAGACUGAUACGUUUCCCAUUCAUGACCUGCCGAAAACUGAAGAAGGUUUUAAGUUGCAAUGAUUUUGAUCCUGAACUUGCAUCCAAGGUUGUGCUUGAGGCACUCUUUUUCAAGGGUGAGGCUCCAUAUCGGCAGCGAGUUCUAGCUGCAGAGGAGGCUAAUUCCAC
rnacentral:misc_RNA from 1 species